rnacentral:rRNA from 1 species
AACGAACGCUGGCGGCAUGCCUAACACAUGCAAGUCGAACGAGACCUUCGGGUCUAGUGGCGCACGGGUGCGUAACGCGUGGGAACCUGCCCUUAGGUUCGGAAUAACUCCCCGAAAGGGGUGCUAAUACCGGAUAAUGUCUUCCGACCAAAGAUUUAUCGCCUUUGGAUGGGCCCGCGUUGGAUUAGCUAGUUGGUAGGGUAAAAGCCUACCAAGGCGACGAUCCAUAGCUGGUCUGAGAGGAUGAUCAGCCACACUGGGACUGAGACACGGCCCAGACUCCUACGGGAGGCAGCAGUGGGGAAUAUUGGACAAUGGGCGAAAGCCUGAUCCAGCAAUGCCGCGUGAGUGAUGAAGGCCUUAGGGUUGUAAAGCUCUUUUACCCGGGAUGAUAAUGACAGUACCGGGAGAAUAAGCGCCGGCUAACUCCGUG